UACGGAGGGUGCAAGCGUUGUCCGGAUUUAUUGGGUUUAAAGGGUGCGUAGGCGGCUUUUUAAGUCAGCGGUGAAAUACUUCGGCUCAACCGAGGAACUGCCGUUGAUACUGGAAGGCUUGAGUACUGAUGAAGUGGGCGGAAUUGAAGGUGUAGCGGUGAAAUGCAUAGAUAUCUUCAAGAACACCGAUUGCGAAGGCAGCUCGCUAAGGAGUAACUGACGCUGAGGCACGAAAGCGUGGGUAGCAAACAGG
rnacentral:rRNA from 1 species